GGCCCUGUGGCUCAACAGUAGGGCACUGGCCCUAUAUGCCAGAGGUGGCAGGCUCAAACCCAGCCCCAGCCA
rnacentral:tRNA from 1 species